rnacentral:rRNA from 1 species
UACGGAGGGUGCGAGCGUUGUCCGGAAUCAUUGGGCGUAAGGAGUUCGUAGGUGGUGAUAUAAGUCAGAUGUUAAAGGCAUAGGCUCAACUUAUGUAUGGCAUUUGAUACUGUAUGACUUGAAUGCGGUAGAGGUAAAGGGAAUUCCCGGUGUAGCGGUGAAAUGCGUAGAUAUCGGGAGGAACAUCGGAGGCGUAAGCGCUUUACUGGGCCGUAAUUGACACUGAGGAACGAAAGCCGGGGUAGCAAAU